CUAUUUCCUGAACCAUAUUUCUUUUAGAGUAGCCCUGGACUGAACAGAAAUCAUUAAAUAGGUGCCCCUAGCUAUGUUCAAAUCUUCUAUCUGCAGUACCUAAAACUGCUGUAUAAAAAAUGCAUCUGAGAAAACAGCAGCAAUCACAAAGGGGAAUUAUUGCUAAUCAGAUUGGUAAUGUGUGGAUGUAGGCUCUGGAGAUAACAUGUUGAAUGGACUGACAAGGAACCUGAGACUUGUAUUUGAAAAGGAGAGUCAGAAAAUAGCUGUAUAUGGGGAGGUGUCACUGAAGCUUAAGAAAAGGACUGGGAAUUUAUAAAAGAUUAUUUAUGGUUGUGGUGGUAUUGCAGAGCAUGUGUGCUGAAAAGACAAGAAAGACACUUCAGGUUUGGGAAAGAGAAUACCCACAGUCUUGAUUAUCAACAGCUAAACGAUAAGUUGUGAAAUCAGAUAUCUAGUGUUUCUCCAGUAUCAUGCCUUUGAACCUUUGUGAAAAAUGAGUUGGCCCUUUUCCUGCACACCUUCCUUCAGCAGUGGCGGAUUGUGCAGACAUGACCAAGAUGAAGGCUCGAGAUCUUCUCAGCAAGAAGAAGGAGGAGCUACCUCACCAGCUGGAAGAGCUGAAGGGGGAGCUGCCCCAGCUUGUGUCCCCGAAGGGACAGGUGGCGUGGCUUCCAAGCUCUCCAAGAUCCAAGUUGUUGGCAAAUCCAUGCCCGUGUUCUCACAGUCAUCAACCAGACGCAGAAAGAGAACCUCAGGAAAUUCUACCAGGGUAAGGAGUACAAGCCCCUGGAUCUGCGGCCCAAGGACACACGUGCCAUGUGCCGCCGGCUGAACAAGCACGAGGAAAACCUGAAGACCAAGAAGCAGCAGCAAGUGCGGGGUCAGGGCCUGAGCAUCAGCAUCAAUAGAACACAAACAAACUUGGGAAAAAUAAAUACAUAAAAAUAAACAAACAAACAAAUAAAUAAUGAGUUGUCCUUAUA